rnacentral:sRNA from 1 species
GUAUCAUUUUGAAUUAUGUUUUUUCAAUUCCUUUUAUCCCGGGCAAGAAAAAAAGUCAAAGCCAAGAGAUGCCUGACUUUGACUUUCUGUCUGUUGAAUCAGAAUAUGCUGUGCGUUCUUUCCGCCGUCUGCCUGGGCAGCGUUAGAAAGGAACU